AUUGAACGCUGGCGGCAUGCCUUACACAUGCAAGUCGAACGGUAACAGGUCUUCGGAUGCUGACGAGUGGCGCACGGGUGAGUAAUACAUCGGAACGUGCCCAGACGUGGGGGAUAACGAGGCGAAAGCUUUGCUAAUACCGCAUACGAUCUAAGGAUGUAAGCAGGGGACCGCAAGGCCUUGUGCGUUUGGAGCGGCCGAUGGCAGAUUAGGUAGUUGGUGGGAUAAAAGCUUACCAAGCCGACGAUCUGUAGCUGGUCUGAGAGGACGACCAGCCACUCUGGGACUGAGACACGGCCCAGACUCCUACGGGAGGCAGCAGUGGGGAAUUUUGGACAAUGGGCGAAAGCCUGAUCCAGCAAUGCCGCGUGCAGGAUGAAGGCCUUCGGGUUGUAAACUGCUUUUGUACGGAACGAAAAGGCUCUGGCUAAUACCUGGGGCACAUGACGGUACCGUAAGAAUAAGCACCGGCUAACUACGUG
rnacentral:rRNA from 1 species